GCGAACGGGCGUCUCCGGCCCGCGCGGGCCCUGCCCUUGCGCUCCGCUGGGCGCUCACUUGCCGGCUGGGGCCGAACCCGGUCACACGGUCUCCUGGUAGCUCCAGAGGGGUUCGCCCCGGGGCUGCCCAGUCCUUCGGGAAGCCGGACCCCGGAAGGACCGGCUGCGAGUGCACCAGUGCCUUCAGCCAUUCUACAGUCACAGGCCUCAUGACUUGGGCCUUCUUCCCAGUUUACAGAUCAGGAAACCGAGGCCAGGCACAAACUACACCAAUGUCUAGCCACCAGGGCGGCCUGAAACUCGAGAGCCAUCUUCCUAACCCUCUCCAAACGUGAUACUGUGGGUCUUUUUUUCCCUCCCCUAAUCGCUGCAAAGAACGACGGAUCUCACUGGGGAGGGAGAGGAACCUGCCAAGUCCCUAGAACGGGUCUGGCUCCGUGGAUGUCGUCUUACAUCAAGUCAGCCUACGCCGUCCCCACCCGAGCUCCAGGGUAAUCUCCCCCGCUUUCCAGAUGCGCAUGCUGGGGCCCCGCUCGCCACCGAGCUGAGUAGAAGAAGCACAACACAUGGUGCUCUGCGAUGGGGGUGCCUUUUGCGAUACGCCUGGCGGGGGAGGGGAGGCUCAAAACGCAGAGAGGAGCCAGAGUGCGCCCUCCCCCGGCCGGGGUUGGGGCGCGUACCCCCUUCCCGGCGCUCCCGGCACGGCGUCUGGUGCGUGACACCCGCGAAGCAAUCGCUCAGUCCAUCCAGUGGCAGCAGGUUCCUCCACGGAUCCCCGCGGGUGCUGCAGGACCUGAGCGUCUGCGGCUGAAAACCGAUUACGCAGUCGUGAUAGGUGGUGGCAAAUGCGACAUUUCGCCGGGUUGUGAUCCCCAGUAGGGACCCCUGGACAUUCCGAGACCCGCGCAGGGCGAGCGGCUGGGCGUCUGCAGGCAAAAGACAGAUUGCACAGUAGCGCACAGACCGAGCUUGCGGGUAGGGGACGCUUUAUCCCAGACCCAGAGUCUGCGGUUCCCGGGCUGCACUGUGGUCAAAGCAUUUGUGGGGUGUGCACAGGGGUGACAGAACUACAGACCAAGGAGAACUACAGACCCUGGAGACCCUGGGAAGGAGGGUUCAGCUCAGCAACCACACAGAUGCUGUUUCCAUUGGAAGAAGACAGAGCCCCCUCCUCAGCUGCCUGCCUGUAGAGACCUGCCCAGCCCUCCAUCCUACUUGGCUCCCAGAGUGUCCUGAGCUCCCUCGCCCAUCAUCAUCACAGAGUAAAGGGUUAUCCUGGAAGAGAAGAGAACUGAGGAAGGGAGACGAGGCAGUUUCCUGUGCCCAAGCCUACCCAAAUGGGGGACUGCAGAGCCCUCCUACUCCUAGUCCUGCAUUAGUCCCAACCCACAGGAGCACAUACCUACAGGUAGGCAUUUCUCAGCCACCCCACAGGUGCCCCAACAGUCACAGGGUUUAUGAGCAAAGGAGAGGACCAGGAGAGCUGGAGGAUGGGGGGAAAGGACUCCUGUUUCUUUAGGCAAGUCAUUUCCCCUCUCGGGGCCUCCUUUCCCCUUCUAGUAAAUGGAACAAUGAGUCAUUCUCGCAACAAAUACUUAUUGAGUGCAGACCAUGUGCUGGACACAGCAGGGAAUAAGACAGAAGAGGACAGAAGAGGCCUCUGCUCUCAGGAGCUUACAUUCUGUAUAGGAACACAGACAAUAAACAAAUGAACAAGAAAAUUUCCUAAAUGCUGAAAUGAAAAUAAAGCAAGGCAAUAAGAUAGAAAGGUGAAGUAAAUGAGAGCCAAGUCCCUUUGCAGGCCACACUGUUCAAACCCAAGAGUUUUUUUUGUUUUUUUUUUUUUGAGACGGAGUUUUUGCUCUUGUGGCCCAGGCUUGAGUGCAAUGGCACGAUCUC